ACGGUAACAGGUCUUCGGAUGCUGACGAGUGGCGAACGGGUGAGCAAUACAUCGGAACGUGCCUAGUAGUGGGGGAUAACUACUCGAAAGAGUAGCUAAUACCGCAUGAGAUCUACGGAUGAAAGCAGGGGACCUUCGGGCCUUGUGCUACUAGAGCGGCUGAUGGCAGGUUAGGUAGUUGGUGGGGUAAAGGCUUACCAAGCCUGCGAUCUGUAGCUGGUCUGAGAGGACGACCAGCCACACUGGGACUGAGACACGGCCCAGACUCCUACGGGAGGCAGCAGUGGGGAAUUUUGGACAAUGGGCGAAAGCCUGAUCCAGCAAUGCCGCGUGCAGGAUGAAGGCCCUCGGGUUGUAAACUGCUUUUGUACGGAACGAAAAGCCUGGGGCUAAUAUCCCCGGGUCAUGACGGUACCGUAAGAAUAAGCACCGGCUAACUACGUGCCAGCAGCCGCGGUAAUACGUAGGGUGCAAGCGUUAAUCGGAAUUACUGGGCGUAAAGCGUGCGCAGGCGGUUUUGUAAGACAGUGGUGAAAUCCCCGGGCUCAACCUGGGAACUGCCAUUGUGACUGCAAGGCUAGAGUGCGGCAGAGGGGA
rnacentral:rRNA from 1 species